rnacentral:rRNA from 1 species
UAGGGAAUCUUCCGCAAUGGGCGAAAGCUUGACGGAGCAACGCCGCGUGAGUGAUGAAGGUCUUCGGAUCGUAAAACUCUGUUAUUAGGGAAGAACAAAUGUGUAAGUAACUAUGCACGUCUUGACGGUACCUAAUCAGAAAGCCACGGCUAACUACGUGCCAGCAGCCGCGGUAAUACGUAGGUGGCAAGCGUUAUCCGGAAUUAUUGGGCGUAAAGCGCGCGUAGGCGGUUUUUUAAGUCUGAUGUGAAAGCCCACGGCUCAACCGUGGAGGGUCAUUGGAAACUGGAAAACUUGAGUGCAGAAGAGGAAAGUGGAAUUCCCUGUGUAGCGGUGAAAUGCGCAGAGAUAUGGAGGAACACCAGUGGCGAAGGCGACUUUCUGGUCUGUAACUGACGCUGAUGUGCGAAAGCGUGGGGAUCAAACAGG